rnacentral:rRNA from 1 species
UUCCGUAGGUGAACCUGCGGAGGGAUCAUUACAGAGAAUAUCGCCCUCACGGGUGACUCUCCAACCCUUUGUAUUCAAACUUUGUUGCUUUGGCGGGCCGCUUCGGCCACCGGCCUCGUGCUGGUGCGUGCCCGCCAGAGGACCCCAAAUUCUAUUUAUCAGUGUCGUCUGAGUACUAUAUAAUAGUUAAAACUUUCAACAACGGAUCUCUUGGUUCUGGCAUCGAUGAAGAACGCAGCGAAAUGCGAUAAGUAAUGUGAAUUGCAGAAUUUAGUGAAUCAUCGAAUCUUUGAACGCACAUUGCGCCCUGUGGUAUUCCGCAGGGCAUGCCUGUUCGAGCGUCAGUACAACACUCAAGCUCUGCUUGGUAUUGAGCCCCGCCGGUCACACGGUCGGGCCCUAAAACUAGUGGCGGUGCCAUUGGGCUCUCAGCGUAGUAAUACUUCCCGCUGUAGGGUCCCGGUGGACGCUGGCCAGCAACCCCCAACUUCUAAGUUUGACCUCGGAUCAGGUAGGGAUACCCGCUGAACUUAAGCAUAUCAAUAA